UACAGAGGGUGCGAGCGUUGUCCGGAAUCACUGGGCGUAAAGGGCGCGUAGGUGGCGACCCAAGUCGAUAGUGAAAGCUCGCCGCUCAACGGCGAGUCGGCCACCGAUACUGGGUUGCUGGAGCACUGUAGAGGCUCAUGGAAUUCCGGGGUGUAGCGGUGGAAUGCGUAGAGAUCCGGAAGAACACCGGUGGCGAAGGCGGUGAGCUGGGCAGUUGCUGACACUGAGGCGCGACAGCGUGGGGAGCAAACAGG
rnacentral:rRNA from 1 species